rnacentral:tRNA from 1 species
GCUAGCGUAGCUUAUCGAAAGCAUGGCACUGAAGAUGCUAAGAUGAAAAAUGAAAAUUUCCGCAGGCA